GAAAUGCGAUAACUAGUGUGAAUUGCAGAAUUCCGUGAAUCAUCGAGUCUUUGAACGCACAUUGCGCCCCCUGGUAUUCCGGGGGGCAUGCCUGUCCGAGCGUCAUUGCUGCCCAUCAAGCACGGCUUGUGUGUUGGGUCGUCGUCCCCUCUCCGGGGGGGACGGGCCCCAAAGGCAGCGGCGGCACCGCGUCCGAUCCUCGAGCGUAUGGGGCUUUGUCACCCGCUCUGUAGGCCCGGCCGGCGCUUGCCGAACGCAAAUCAAUCUUUUUCCAGGUUGACCUCGGAUCAGGUAGGGAUACCAGCUGAACUUAAGC
rnacentral:misc_RNA from 1 species